rnacentral:rRNA from 1 species
CCUACGGGUGGCAGCAGUAGGGAAUCUUUCACAAUGGGCGAAAGCCUGAUGGAGCAACGCCGCGUGCAUGAUGAAGGCCUUCGGGUUGUAAACCGCUUUUAUAAGCGAGAAAUAUGAUGGUAACUUAUGAAUAAGGAUCGGCUAACUACGUGCCAGCAGCCGCGGUCAUACGUAGGGUCCGAGCAUUAUCCGGAGUGACUGGGUGUAAAGAGUUGCGUAGGUGGCAUAAUAAGUAGCUAGGGAAAUCGGGUGGCUCAACCAUUCAGACUGUUAGCUAAACUGUUAAGCUCGAGACCGUUAGGGGUAACUGGAAUUUCUAGUGUAGGAGUGAAAUCCGUAGAUAUUAGGAAGAACACCGAUGGCGUAGGCAGGUUACUGGGACGGUUCUGACACUGAGGCACGAAAGCGUAGGGAGCAAACGGGAUUAGAUACCCGUGUAGUC